rnacentral:rRNA from 1 species
GAUGAACGCUGGCGGCGUGCCUAAUACAUGCAAGUCGAGCGAACGGACGAGAAGCUUGCUUCUCUGAUGUUAGCGGCGGACGGGUGAGUAACACGUGGAUAACCUACCUAUAAGACUGGGAUAACUUCGGGAAACCGUAGCUAAUACCGGAUAAUAUUUUGAACCGCAUGGUUCAAAAGUGAAAGACGGUCUUGCUGUCACUUAUAGAUGGAUCCGCGCUGCAUUAGCUAGUUGGUAAGGUAACGGCUUACCAAGGCAACGAUGCAUAGCCGACCUGAGAGGGUGAUCGGCCACACUGGAACUGAGACACGGUCCAGACUCCUACGGGAGGCAGCAGUAGGGAAUCUUCCGCAAUGGGCGAAAGCCUGACGGAGCCACGCCGCGUGAGUGAUGAAGGUCUUCGGAUCGUAAAACUCUGUUAUUAGGGAAGAACAUAUGUGUAAGUAACUGUGCACAUCUUGACGGUACCUAAUCAGAAAGCCACGGCUAACUACGUG